AGAUUGAACGCUGGCGGCAUGCCUUACACAUGCAAGUCGAACGGCAGCACGGGAGCAAUCCUGGUGGCGAGUGGCGAACGGGUGAGUAACACAUCGGAACGUGCCCAAUCGUGGGGGAUAACUACGCGAAAGCGUAGCUAAUACCGCAUACGAUCUACGGAUGAAAGCAGGGGAUCGCAAGACCUUGCGCGAAUGGAGCGGCCGAUGGCAGAUUAGGUAGUUGGUGAGGUAAAGGCUCACCAAGCCAUCGAUCUGUAGCUGGUCUGAGAGGACGACCAGCCACACUGGGACUGAGACACGGCCCAGACUCCUACGGGAGGCAGCAGUGGGGAAUUUUGGACAAUGGGCGCAAGCCUGAUCCAGCCAUGCCGCGUGCAGGUGAAGGCCUUCGGUUGUAAACUGCUUUUGUACGGAACGAAAGCUCUUUCUAAUACAAAGGCUCAUGACGGUACCGUAAGAAUAAGCAACCGGCUAACGUACGUAGCCAACG
rnacentral:rRNA from 1 species